rnacentral:rRNA from 2 species
GGACUACUCGGGUAUCUAAUCCCGUUUGCUCCCCUGGCUUUCGCACCUCAGCGUCGGUAACCAACCAGUGCAUCGCUUUCGCCGCCGACGUUCCUUCCGAUAUCAACGCAUUUCACCGCUCCACCGGAAAUUCCAUGCACCCCUUUGGUCCCCAAGCAACGCAGUAUCGGACGCAGUUCCUCGGUUAGGCCGAGGGAUUUCACAUCCGACUUACGCCACCGCCUACGUGCGCUUUAUGCCCAGUGAUUCCGAACAACGCUCGCCACCUUCGUCUUACCGCGGCUGCUGGCAC